GAAAAGGAAAGCAUUUUUAUUAGAGAGGUUGUUUCCGAAAGACAAACAAGAAGGGCACACUUUAACCCCCGCAGAUGACAACAUAGACAUGUAUAGACCAAAAAGCUGAUAUGAGGUCAUGAAACUAUUGAAAUUCACACAUCUUUAAACUUAGCAAUAGAAAGUUUCCUCAUUUCACUUAUUUGGUGCUGUGCUUUUUCUCCUCUGUGGAUGUGUCUGUGGCACGGAGAGUAUGUAACUGCAUCGUUGAGUUUCGCGGUAGAAGUUUUUGGUUGGGAUUAUUCAUAUUGAACCCCAGCCACCACCUCCUGGGGUAAGAAUCUGAAGUAUUUCCCCAGCCUGUACCUGAAUUGUGUUUUUACCACCAACAUAUACCUUCCUUUUAUCUUUGGUGAUGAGGAAAUUAGCACCGCGAGCUCCAUUUGCUCCACCCAUAAGCCCCCUCGGGGCAUGCACACGUCUUUCUGAAAGGAUACUGACGAUGACUGGCCGCUUGAAUUCUAUCUCCCUGAUAAUGCCAUCGCCUCCUUUAUGUUGUCCAGCACCACCACUAUUCUCUCUUAUUCCAAACUUAUGCAAUAUAACUGGGUAUCUUUGCUCAAAGAUCUCUGGAUCUGUCAUGCGAGUGUUGGUCAUAUGGCACUGGACUGCACUCGUCCCAUCCCAGGUAGGUCCAGCCCCACUACCGCCUCCAAUUGUUUCGUAGUAACCAAAAGUGUCAUCACCAAAGGUUAGAUUAUUCAUGCAACCCUGUGAACAAGCACAAGCUUGGAAUGCAGUGAGAACGACAUCGGUGACCCUUUGUGAUGUAAGAACAUUACCACCCACAACAGCAGCCUUGUCACUCGGAGAGAGAAAUGAACCAGGAGGUAUAUAUAUCUUUACAGGAGCCAAGCAACCUUGAUUGAGAGGAAUAUCAACAUUCACUAAGCAGCGUACACAGUAAAUUACUGCAGCAGCUGUUACUGCUUCUGGAGCGUUCCAAUUACCAUAAACCUCUGUGCUGGUCCCGGAGAAAUCAAAAAAUGCUUCACCCUUCCUAGAAUCUAUUGUAAGCUUUAAGUGUAUGGAAGACCCGUCAUCCAUGUAAUCUUCCUCUUCGAUAGUCACUAAGUCACCCUGUCCAGACCUUUUUGAUUCGGAGGAAACUCUCCCAGCAACAGAUUUAAGCAUUUCUCUCACUGCUUCUUCAGCAUUAGCCUGCACAUGGUUCAUGUAUGCCUGUACAGUUUCCAGACCGUAUUGCUCAAUAAGCUCAUUAAUAAGGGUAAUUCCUCUCUGAUUUGCAGCUACUUGUGCGUGAAGGUCAGAUAAAUUAUCCUGAAGCCUGCGGGAUCCUGGAAUCUUAUGAGUUGAUUCUUCAGAACUGGGGUAACAAAGAAGCUUGGUGAUUCCUUCUUCCUGAAAAAUGCCCUUCUCAACAAGCUUGAAUGUUUUUAUUGCUGCUCCUUCCUCCCAUAUGAACUUUGAGAAAGGUGGCAUACUUCCAGGAGUAAUACCUCCAAUCUCU
rnacentral:misc_RNA from 1 species